rnacentral:antisense_RNA from 1 species
AGUCUUAUUCCACUGCGAUACGCAGCAGUCAGUUGACCACAGAGGAUUUUAUAAAGGAGAAGAGAGACCAGCAUAGGGCAGAGAUACAUCAAACCCACCUCUCACCGGAGACACCAGUCCCUUGCUUGCCUCUGUCGCUAAGCCCAGAACAUGCCCUGCAGCUGCUCCUCUGGAGGCCAUCUCCCAGCCACAGGCCUCCACUGCUCCACUUUAAUUAAUCUGGGUGGCUGAAAGUGUUUUAACCCAAGUAACUUAAGACAUGAAUUAAUAGUGAAUUUAUUUCCUCUAGGAUAGAACCAGACUUUAUCAGUAAACUGUAACUUUUUUAGAAGCAAAGAAAAAAAGGUUACUACAUCUAGUUAAAUUCACUUCCGAUUGGUUGAAACAUAAGGGAGGGGCUGGGCGGGGUGGCUCACACCUGUAAUCGAGCACUUUGGGAGGCCAAGGCAGGUGGAUCACUUGAGACCAGGAGUUCGAGACCAGCCUGGCCAACAUGGUGAAACCUUGUCUCUACUAAAAUAUAGAAAUUAGCUGGGCAUGGUGGCACAUGCUUGUAAUCCCAGCUACUUGGGAGGGAAAGCUCUUUUGGUUAACAGCAUAUUUACAAUUAGUUAACUGUAUUCUUAAAUACUUUUAACCUGAGUAACAUUUAUAAAUAUGUUAU